AGCUUGCGCUGCUACCAUGCAGUCGGACGGUAGCACAGAGGAUUUGCCCCUCGGGUGCGAGUGGCGGAGGGGUGAAAGUGUGGGGGGAUCUGCCCGAGAGGGGGGGAUCCCCUGUGGACGGGGUGGCUAAUCCCGUAAAAUGUCGCAAGAAACCAAAGAAGGGGGGAUCUUUCCGCCCCUCUCUCAUUUAUCAGAAAGACCCCAUAUGGGAGUUUAUCUAAGUACGCGGGGGUAAGGGCCCAUCCCUAGCGAAAAUAUCCCUUAUCUGGUCUGGAGAAGGAUGACCACCCACUCUCGGAUCUGGACACAGGGUCCCAGACUCCUACGAGAGGCAGCAGUGGGGAAUUUUGCACUGUGGGCGCAACCCAGAUGCACCCGUGCCGUGUGUAUGAAAAGGGUCUUUCGGUUUGUAAAGUAUUUUCAGCGGGGAAGAGGGAUAUGUGUUUAAUACCCGCUUUGAUAGAUUUUACCCGCAAAAAACACCCCGGCUAUCUCCGUGCCAACACCCGCGGUAAUAGAGAGUGUGCGAGUUUUUCUCAUAUUUAGUGGGCAUAAAGCACACGCGCGCGCUCUGUAAACUCAUAUGUGAUAUCCCCGGUCUUAACGUGAGAACUGUUUUUAAAUGUGGGGCGCUUGACUCUCAUAGAGGGGGGUAGAUUUCCGUGUGUAGCUGAGAUGUGCAUAGAUAUCUGGAAGAAUACCGGUGGAGAGCGCCCCCCCGUGGAAAAAGACUGACUCUCGUGUGAGAGUGUGUGGGGAACACACGAGAAUAUAUACUCUGGAUACCCCACCCCAUAAAAUAUCUCCACUUGGGAGGGUGUUCCUCGUGAAGAGUGGCUUCCAGAUCUCACGCGUUGACUCCCCCGCGUGGAGAGUAGCGCCACUGUGUUUACACUCAUAUGAUUUGACGGGGCCCCACACGCGCGGUGAGAGUGUGUGUUUUUAUUCUACGCAACGCGAGUAUCUUCCCCUACUCUUGAUCUCCAGAGCAUUUGAGCAGAUGAUGCUUUUUGUCUCUUCGAGACACUGUGACACGUGCUGCUGCGGUGUGCUCGUCAUCAUCCUCGUGUUGAGAUAUGGUGGUUAUAACCCCCAACAACGAGCAACACUUCUUUCUUUUUUUGUGCCCCACUAUUCUCGUCGGAGAUCUACUAGCAGAAGUAUCGCCCGUGAUAACCGAGAAGAAGGGGGGAAAUACGUCAAGUCAUCAUGGCUCUCUAAUUAUUGGGGUCUACACACUGUCUAAUGGGGCGGCGAUACAUAGAACACACGUCCUCGUCAGAGUAAGUCGACCUCAUAAAGUGCGUCGUAGUCCGGAUCGGAGUCUGCAACUCGACUCCGUGAAGUCGGAAUCGCUAGUAAUCGUGGAUCAGAAUGCCACGGUGAAUACGUUCCCGGGCCUUGUACACACCGCCCGUCACACCAUGGGAGUGGGUUGCAAAAGAAGUAGGUAGCUUAACCUUCGGGAGGGCGCUACCACUAGAUCAUUGC
rnacentral:rRNA from 1 species